AUUGAACGCUGGCGGCAGGCUUAACACAUGCAAGUCGAGCGGAGAUGAGGUGCUUGCACCUUAUCUUAGCGGCGGACGGGUGAGUAAUGCUUAGGAAUCUGCCAUUUAGUGGGGGACAACAUUCCGAAAGGAAUGCUAAUACCGCAUACGUCCUACGGGAGAAAGCAGGGGAUCUUCGGACCUUGCGCUAAAUGAUGAGCCUAAGUCGGAUUAGCUAGUUGGUGGGGUAAAGGCCUACCAAGGCGACGAUCUGUAGCGGGUCUGAGAGGAUGAUCCGCCACACUGGGACUGAGACACGGCCCAGACUCCUACGGGAGGCAGCAGUGGGGAAUAUUGGACAAUGGGCGGAAGCCUGAUCCAGCCAUGCCGCGUGUGUGAAGAAGGCCUUUUGGUUGUAAAGCACUUUAAGCGAGGAGGAGGCUACCUGGAUUAAUACUCUGGGAUAGUGGACGUUACUCGCAGAAUAAGCACCGGCUAACUCUGUGCCAGCAGCCGCCGCGGUAA
rnacentral:rRNA from 1 species